rnacentral:rRNA from 1 species
CACCGGCGGCUCGAGUGGUGGCCACUUUUAUUGGGUCUAAAGCGUCCGUAGCCGGCUUGGCAAGUCCCCUGGGAAAUCUGGCGGCUUAACCGUCAGGCGUCCAGAGGAUACUGCCAGGCUUGGGACUGGGAGAGGUGAGAGGUACCUCAGGGGUAGGGGUGAAAUCUUGUGAUCCCUGAGGGACCACCAGUGGCGAAGGCGUCUCACUAGAACGGGUCCGACGGUCAGGGACGAAAGCUGGGGGCACGAACCGG